CACUGGGAUCAUCUCAGCAGAG
rnacentral:miRNA from 1 species